UACGGGGGGAGCAAGCGUUGUUCGGAUUUACUGGGCGUAAAGGGCGCGUAGGCGGCACCGCAAGUCGACUGUGAAAUCUCCGGGCUUAACCCGGAAAGGUCAGCCGAUACUGCGGGGCUAGAGUGCAGAAGGGGCAACUGGAAUUCUCGGUGUAGCGGUGAAAUGCGUAGAUAUCGAGAGGAACACCUGCGGCGAAGGCGGGUGCUGGGCUGACACUGACGCUGAGGCGCGAAGCUAGGGGAGCGAACGGG
rnacentral:rRNA from 1 species